rnacentral:rRNA from 1 species
UACGUAGGGUGCGAGCGUUGUCCGGAAUUACUGGGCGUAAAGAGCUCGUAGGUGGUUUGUCGCGUUGUUCGUGAAAACUCACAACUCAAUUGUGGGCGUGCGGGCGAUACGGGCAGACUGGAGUACUGCAGGGGAGACUGGAAUUCCUGGUGUAGCGGUGGAAUGCGCAGAUAUCAGGAGGAACACCGGUGGCGAAGGCGGCAUCCUGGACCACGACUGACGCUGAGGAGCGAAAGCCAGGGGAGCAAACGGG